UUUUAAUCAAGCAAUGCUUGGAAAACAAUGUUGGAGAUUAUUGACCGAGCCAAACUCGUUGUGCGCACAAGUACUUAGAGGUCGAUAUUAUCCAAAUGGGGACUUCUGGACAGCUCAGUGCCCAAGAUCAUCAUCAUAUGUUUGGCGCAGCAUUAUGCAUGGGAAGAAGCUGAUCCGGAAAGGUAUACUAUGGAGAGUAGGUAAUGGUAAAGGAUCAUCAUCAAAACAAGAUUAUUUGGAGAAGGUGUGGAAGAGACUUUGGGCCAUUCAGUGCCCUAACAAGAUGAAGAUCAUGCUCUGGAGAAUAGCACACAACUGCUUACCUACAGGCUCUCAACUUCAGACACGAUCGAUACCCACAAGGAACAACUAUCGCAAUGGCGAGGCACUAGUUAAUCCUCUUCGCGUGGUGGGGAAAAUCAAGGCUUAUAAUGAAUUCAUUACAGAGUAUAAGAUCAGACCAACAGGUUCC